GAUGAACGCUAGCGGCAGGCCUAAUACAUGCAAGUCGAACGGGAUCCAGAUCAAAGCUUGCUUUGGUCUGGUGAGAGUGGCGCACGGGUGCGUAACGCGUGAGCAACCUACCCUUGUCAGGGGGAUAGCCCGGCGAAAGUCGGAUUAAUACCGCAUGACAUCAUUGAGAGGCAUCUUUCGAUGAUCAAAGAUUUAUCGGACAAGGAUGGGCUCGCGUGACAUUAGCUAGUUGGUUAGGUAACGGCUUACCAAGGCUGCGAUGUCUAGGGGCUCUGAGAGGAGAAUCCCCCACACUGGGACUGGGACACGGACCAGACUCCUACGGGAGGCAGCAGUAAGGGAUAUUGGUCAAUGGACGGAAGUCUGAACCAGCCAUGCCGCGUGCAGGAGGACGGCCCUAUGGGUUGUAAACUGCUUUUAUACGGGAACAUACGUCGGUACGUGUACCGGUCUGAGUGUACCGUAAGAAUAAGGAUCGGCUAACUCCGUG
rnacentral:rRNA from 1 species